GCUGGUAAAACGGAACCAAGU
rnacentral:miRNA from 8 species